AAAAAUCUUGCCAAAAAAAUGAAAGUUUAUAAUUCACAAAUAAAAAAUAGGGGUUGAUCGUAGAGGGGUGAAAAAUUCAGAGUAAUAUGAAAUUUAUUAUUUUAAGCCAUCAAAAAAUAAAAAAAAAAAUUUUUGCCAAAAAAUUAAAGUUUAUAAUUAAAAAAUAAAAAAUAGGGGUUGAUCGUAGAGGGGUGAAAAAUUCAGAGUAAUAUGAAAUUUUUUAUUCUAAGUCAU